CGUAACGACUCUCGGCAACGGAUAUCUCGGCUCUCGCAUCGAUGAAGAACGUAGCGAAAUGCGAUACUUGGUGUGAAUUGCAGAAUCCCGUGAACCAUCGAGUCUUUGAACGCAAGUUGCGCCCGAAGCCUUCCGGUCGAGGGCACGUCUGCCUGGGCGUCACGC
rnacentral:rRNA from 1 species